CACUAUACUAGAGGAGAGAGACCAGCAAUUGGUUAUCUAGAGGCAUUGAACAUUGGCAAUGAUACGGGGUUUAUCUUUCACACGAAAAAGAAGGAUUCACCUUCUUUCACAUAAAUCCACCAUUGGAUCACCCUCCAUACAAAUCUCAAAACGCUUUAAACUCCAUCAUUCAUCCAUCUGAAUAGAUCUCAAAACGAUCAGUGGAUGAUCCAAGAGGGAAUUCAUGCGAACAAAAGAGAAUCC
rnacentral:lncRNA from 1 species